rnacentral:rRNA from 1 species
UUGGGAAUCUUGGACAAUGGGGGAAACCCUGAUCCAGCCAUGCCGCGUGAGUGAUGAAGGCCUUAGGGUUGUAAAGCUCUUUCGCACGCGACGAUAAUGACGGUAGCGUGAGAAGAAGCCCCGGCUAACUUCGUGCCAGCAGCCGCGGGAAUACGAAGGGGGCUAGCGUUGUUCGGAAUUACUGGGCGUAAAGCGCGCGCAGGCGGGUCAUCAAGUCAGAGGUGAAAGCCCGGAGCUUAACUCCGGAAUAGCCUUUGAAACUGUUGAUCUUGAGUACGGGAGAGGUUAGUGGAAUUCCCAGUGUAGAGGUGAAAUUCGUAGAUAUUGGGAAGAACACCAGUGGCGAAGGCGGCUCACUGGCCCGUUACUGACGCUCAGGCGCGAUAGCGUGGGGAUCAAACA